rnacentral:rRNA from 1 species
AUGUUCGAUCAUGCCAUGUUCGAUUNUAUAAGCAUGCUUGGGCGAGAGUAGAACUAGGAUGAGUGACCUCCUAUGAAUUCCUCGUGUUGCACCUC